UCGAGAAUCUUCGGCAAUGGGCGCAAGCCUGACCGAGCGACGCCGCGUGCGGGAUGAAGGCCUUCGGGUUGUAAACCGCUGUCAGAGGGGAACAAAGGCAUGGGGGUUCUCUCCCAUGUUUGAGUGAUCCUCAGAGGAAGGGCGGGCUAAGUUCGUGCCAGCAGCCGCGGUAAGACGAACCGCCCAAACGUUAUUCGGAAUCACUGGGCUUAAAGGGUGCGUAGGCGGCGCGGCAAGUCGGAUGUGAAAUCCCUCAGCUCAACCGAGGAACUGCGUCCGAUACUGCCGUGCUCGAGGGAGAUAGGGGUGAGCGGAACUAAUGGUGGAGCGGUGAAAUGCGUUGAUAUCAUUAGGAACACCGGUGGCGAAAGCGGCUCACUGGAUCUCUUCUGACGCUGAGGCACGAAAGCUAGGGUAGCGAACAGGAUUAGAUACCCCCGUAGUCC
rnacentral:rRNA from 1 species